UACGAAGGGGGCUAGCGUUGCUUGGAAUUACUGGGCGUAAAGCGCACGUAGGCGGCUCUUUAAGUCGGAGGUGAAAUCCUGGAGCUCAACUCCAGAACUGCCUUCGAUACUGUAGAGCUUGAGUUCGGGAGAGGUGAGUGGAACUGCGAGUGUAGAGGUGAAAUUCGUAGAUAUUCGCAAGAACACCAGUGGCGAAGGCGGCUCACUGGCCCGAUACUGACGCUGAGGUGCGAAAGCGUGGGGAGCAAACAGG
rnacentral:rRNA from 1 species